rnacentral:rRNA from 1 species
AUUGAACGCUGGCGGCGUGCCUAACACAUGCAAGUCGAGCGGUAACAGGUGUAGCAAUACAUGCUGACGAGCGGCGGACGGGUGAGUAACGCUUGGGAAUCUGCCUGUUAGUGGGGGACAACACGGGGAAACUCGUGCUAAUACCGCAUACGCACUACGGUGGAAAGCCGGGGACCGCAAGGCCUGGCGCUAACAGAUGA